GAGUUUGAUCGUGGCUCAGAGCGAACGCUGGCGGCAGGCUUAACACAUGCAAGUCGAGCGGACGUAGCAAUACGUCAGCGGCAGACGGGAGAGUAACACGUGGGAACGCGCCCUUCGGUUCGGAAUAACUCAGGGAAACUUGAGCUAAUACCGGAUACGCCCUUACGGGGAAAGAUUUAUUGCCGAAGGAACGGCCCGCGUCUGAUUAGCUAGUUGGUGAGGUAAUGGCUCACCAAGGCGACGAUCAGUAGCUGGUCUGAGAGGAUGACCAGCCUCACUGGGACUGAGACACGGCCCAGACUCCUACGGGAGGCAGCAGUGGGGAAUAUUGGACAAUGGGCGCAAGCCUGAUCCAGCCAUGCCGCGUGGAUGAUGAAGGCCUUAGGGUUGUAAAGUCCUUUUAACGGGGAAGAUAAUGACGGUACCCGUAGAAUAAGCCCCGGCUAACUUCGUGCCAGCAGCCGCCGUAAU
rnacentral:rRNA from 1 species